GACAGAGGGUGCGAACGUUGUUCGGAAUUACUGGGCGUAAAGCGCGUGUAGGCGGUUCGGCAAGUCGGAUGUGAAAGCCCAGGGCUCAACCCUGGAAGUGCACUCGAUACUGCUGAACUGGAGUCCCGGAGAGGAAGGCGGAAUUCUCGGUGUAGAGGUGAAAUUCGUAGAUAUCGAGAGGAACACCUGUGGCGAAGGCGGCCUUCUGGACGGUGACUGACGCUGAGACGCGAAAGCGUGGGGAGCAAACAGG
rnacentral:rRNA from 1 species